rnacentral:rRNA from 1 species
CGUAAACAAAGGGAAGCGAGCCUGUGAAGGGGAGCAAAUCCCAAAAAUAACGUCCCAGUUCGGAUUGUAGUCUGCAACCCGACUACAUGAAGCUGGAAUCGCUAGUAAUCGCGGAUCAGAAUGCCGCGGUGAAUACGUUCCCGGGUCUUGUACACACCGCCCGUCACACCAUGGGAGUCGGAAAUGCCCGAAGUCUGUGACCUAACCGUAAGGAAGGAGCAGCCGAAGGCAGGUCGGAUGACUGGGGUGAAGUCGUAACAAGGUAUC